GGAAUAUUGGACAAUGGGCGGGAGCCUGAUCCAGCCAUGCCGCGUGCAGGAAGACUGCCCUAUGGGUUGUAAACUGCUUUUAUACGGGAAGAAACCCUGCCACGUGUGGCGGGCUGACGGUACCGUAAGAAUAAGGAUCGGCUAACUCCGGCCCAGCAGCCGCGGUAAUACGGAGGAUCCAAGCGUUAUCCGGAAUCAUUGGGUUUAAAGGGUCCGUAGGUGGAUGAUUAAGUCAGGGGUGAAAGUCUGCGGCUCAACCGUAGAAUUGCCCUUGAUACUGGUCAUCUUGAAUCAUUGUGAAGUAGUUAGAAUAUGUAGUGUAGCGGUGAAAUGCAUAGAUAUUACAUAGAAUACCGAUUGCGAAGGCAGAUUACUAACAAUGCAUUGACACUGAUGGACGAAAGCGUGGGGAGCG
rnacentral:rRNA from 1 species